GAUCGAGUCAGCCAGCGCCCGCAGCAAUUCCCCACGCCCCCUCCCCAUGCCCUCCACCUCAUCUCUUGACGCCGCCAGAGGGAGCUUCUCCCAUGCCCUCCUCAUCUCUUACCACCGGCCGGAGGGAGCUCCGCCGCUCUCCUUCAGUACACCGCUCCUCUUUCCCCAAGGCGACGAAAAUCACAAAACGGGGGCACAACAUAUGGCCAGGGGCUCCUACAUCGCUGCUUGGGUCAUCGGUGGCGGUGCUGGCAUUGAAGGAUGGGGCGGCAAUGCCAUUGUAGUCUUGGAAAAGCAGCUCGGGCAGAGGAAGAGGACGCGCCCGGCAUAGGAGGAGGUUGGGCGGGAGACGAUUGUUCUGCUGCAGGUACGUGAAUAGGGUGUCCAGGUUGACACGCUGGCCUCCUCUAGCAGCCCCUCUGCCCCGCGCCAGCUCUUGCCCCUCGCUUGCCACCUCCUGCGACACUGGUGUUCAGCUCGCAUGCGAGGUGUUCUAGCAAUUGACCAAACCGAGCCAAGCCUAAGCAUGAACGAUGGUCACGUACUUUUCUUCGUCAAGUAGUCCAGUACUGCACCAGAAGCGACGUCGGCCGAACAGGCGGAGAGGAAGAGGCCACAGAAGGAUUCUUGCAUCCAAAUGUGAGUUUCAGGUUCACGGUCUGGAUGGUGGAUUCGUUCUUCGAUGGCCAGACCAUCCAUGUCAAGCAGCGGCAUGAGAAGAGCUCCGGCGAGCUCAUCAUGUGCCGGUGCAUCUCACCUUCAAGCACAUGCUGCAGACUCCGACUGUUCUUUCUUUGCUGGAUGUUCGGCCCGCUGAUGCUGCAUGGAAGCAUUCAAAGUGAAAAAAAAUCUUCAUAUACCUUCCUGUAAGUGCAUCUCCCCUUCUUAAUUUGGGUUCUCUCGCUGUCCCGCUUACCUGUUCUGCUUCGCCCAUCAUUCAGAGUUAGGUUGGUUCAUGAGAUCAGAUAAUGUACUGCCAUUUAUUUUACCCAACUGCUACAUUCAAGAUCGAGGAGUACAAGUGUGUAUUGAUCUGAACACAAAGUGUUACAAUAGCUUAUCUCUGCAAGUGGAUAAGGUGGUCAUAUAUCAGCCUGCACUUUUGGACCAAAACACUUUUACAUGGGCUUCUUCGGAGGAAAAGGAAACCCCACCUGAACUUUUAGCUUUUUUUAUAUGUGAGAUCACUUGCUGAGUUUUCCCACAUGAUAGAUUUUCUUAUGAAUUCAUGGGAUUUUAGAUUUUAAUCAGGUCAUGCAGUUCUGAGUUUUAAUUCAUGUGCAAUAGUCAAAAUAUUGCAGGCUUGAACUGAGUAUUUACAUUUCAGUUAAAUUUUGUUCACCAAUGUCAGCCAAUGUGAGAGCAGAGUUUUCCUCCGAUUAUUCUAAAUUAUCCUUGGACUAUUCUGAAUCUGUAAAUGGAAGUUGAAUUCUGAAUACAUCUAUGCCAUCUAUAAAAUAAGAUGGCCUCGCGUGCCACUGUGCAACACCACGACGAUUAACAUCACCCAGUGAACACUGAACAAGUCUCGAAUCAAUAUGCAUUGGCGAUUUGUGGUUCUGUCCCGUUUUAGUAGGGUUGCAUCUCUUCCAUAAUCUUUUGGUAAUUUUGUAGAUUAGGAAGUUUAAUUCUUUUCCGAUGAUAGUUUAAUAGUAGUCAAGAUAUGCGAUCUGCAUGUCCAUUUUACUGUAUAUAUCUGUUUUUACACUUCUAUUAUAGGUGUGGGAGUAUUAUGCCGAGCCUCCCCAGCAAGGUUUUCAAUAUUAAGGGGGAAAUUUGAAGGUGUAUAAGGUAAAGAGACAGAGCUCUAGAUACAUUUACUAAUAAAUUUUCUUUAUACCUUGCAUUAUAAUUACAUAUGGGAAAUACAGAUGAGGUGCCUGAUGUCAGCUACAAUCACAGAUCUAAGAAUAUGUGUUCAUCUGGAAGCCUAUAGACAGAAAUAUGUGUUCAUCUGGAAGCCCAUAGACGCUAAACAAUAUUUUAGUGAUCUUGGAUGCUAUCACCUACAUAGACUAUUUUCCCGUAAUAGUGUGCUUCCAGUUUGUUUGGUUCAUGGACGGUCCGAUGGCAUUUCACCUAGCUCUUCCAGUUUGUUGGUUCAUGGACGGCCAGAUGGUAUCUCCCCUAGCUAACCUGCUUUAAAGUAUCCGGAUGCUAAACCGGCAAAUACUUCUGCAAUUUUCGCUAGCACUAUAUAAUACAUCAAUUGGUUUCUUAUUGUUGAAAUUUUAAGAUCUACAAAUUAGAAGAAUUGUCUUUUUUUAUAGGAUGCCUGUUUUGUGUUGCAAAAUUAGAAGUAUUUUCUAAUGUGGUGCAAAAUUUUGUGUUGUUCUUAUGGCCCAUGGUCCUACGUAAAGUAUUCCAAUACAUUUCCACAAAUCAGUUUUUUAUUUAUUUUUCACGUAACACAUGUUCAUGUCCAAUCAGGGAUGGGUUCAAGCGGUGCUGGGACAUGUAUAGAGAAGGAGCUCAUUAUAUAUGGAGACAAGUUUUGAAUUGGGGCGUGUUGCUUCCUACCUAUGGUGUAGACGUUAGAUGAGGGAUCUACAUAUAAGUAGAAUGUCACAUAUAUGGAUGUUGUAUCUUGGACGAUUCAUAGAAAAGAAGCCAAAGAACGAUUCAUCAGUUGCAUAUCUUUUUUACCUUCUACAUGUUAUUUUUUUCUCCAUAAGUUGGUCUGCACUUCAAAAAAGCUGAGAAUGUGACUAUAUGAGAAGCGUAGUUAAGUGUGUUCAAGAAGUAUAUGUAGGAAAAAAAUAGACUGCUGGGCGUAAAAACUCUCGAGCUGGCUCAAAGGUAUGCAUAUGCAGACCGUACAACAAAAUUUCAAAAACUAUAACAAAACAAACACAUAAUGAACCAAUGGGUGCAGCGUGCCGCCGCGCACAGUUGGCCGCGCAUGCUUCGGUGGAUCAACUUGAAUGGAUUGCGCGGCUUGUGUGGAUUGAUUUGAACAGAUUGGAUCGACUUGAAUAGAUUGGUUGGUGAUGAUAUGUCUUUUAGGACCCGUAGCGAUGGUUUGAAGAAGUAAAUUUCACUACCAUUACAUCAUAAAGACAAAUCCAGCUGGAGAACCAAUAUCUUUGGUCUAGGAAGAAAACAAGUGCUUCGCAAUUCCAGCACCCACUAUCACUACAUGUUGUAGAUCACUCAUGCAUGUACCAAUUAGAUGUAUCUUUUCUUGUAUGAGCUACUUUGCCACGAAUCAAGUCUUGGGACGACUUACCAAAUAU